rnacentral:rRNA from 1 species
CAGCAGCCACGGUAAUACGUAGGUGGCAAGCGUUGUCCGGAAUUAUUGGGCGUAAAGGGCUCGCAGGCGGUUUCUUAAGUCUGAUGUGAAAGCCCCCGGCUCAACCGGGGAGGGUCAUUGGAAACUGGGAAACUUGAGUGCAGAAGAGGAGAGUGGAAUUCCACGUGUAGCGGUGAAAAGCGUAGAGAUGUGGAGGAACACCAGUGGCGAAGGCGACUCUCUGGUCUGUAACUGACGCUGAGGAGCGAAAGCGUGGGGAGCGAACAGGAUUAGAUACCCCAGUAGUCCCUGUCUCUUAUAC